AAGAAUAAACUGGAAUCCUUCAAAACGCCCGGCUUAUACACGUCGUGGGUUUUUUUGUUUUCUUUCAUUUGUCUGCCCGAAGGAUUUUUCACCAUACUGCAGGUGCACACAACGUGCUCAGACUCAACCCGGUUUCCUUCUCUUGCAUUAAAACCACGGAGAGAGGCAGGUUGCUCCUCAGGAUCCUUACAUCAAAUCAGCGUACCUCGAGGAGCAGUAAUUCAUUAAGCAGUAUUCAAUCAAACACCCGUGUUUGUGACCUCUGGUUACACACAUUUCCAAGUGCUGGUACACUGUUUUCUUAAACCUCCAAAGCUUGUAACUGUGAGAGCCUCUGCAUGCCUCAAAAUUACAGACUAGCAGGUGAGAGGGGCUGAAGAGACAAGAAGAACCUUCCAGUUGUUUUUGGAAAGUGGAAGGCUCUGCACAGGGAUGAUGUUUCCAAGAAGUCAAAUGUGCAUCACGGAGAGGGAAGGGGUUGUGUAUCACUCAGCCUUAAAACUGCCAUGAAGGGAAAGGACCUCUCUUGUCCAGCUACUGCUGCCAACACAAAGAAGUCAUAGGAUCAUAGAACGCCCCAGGUUUCUCGGGAGUACAACUAAAUGGGAGUGACUGGAGCAUAUCAAGGAGAUGUCACGUCAGCCCUGAAAGAAAACGAUCAGGGGAAAAAGGAACUAUCCGGUGCUUCUCUGGUUUUGUCCUGAAAUCUCACUGUGAGCAGUGGAAUGCUGCUGUGGGCAGGGAGCACGCCUGCUUCCUGCACGCCACACAGGCCCCAUGUGCCAUAAAGAUGUCAGCCCGGAGGCAGAGAUCAUCCCUCCAUUUGUUUAACAGCACUCCCCACGCACAGAGCCCAGCACAACGAGUUUCCAACGUCUGGGAAAAGUGUUUGCACCAGGCGGUCCAUCACCUGCAGAUCUGAUGCCCGGUACAGCCACGAGGGAAGGCGAUGGGUUUUCACCUGGUGUAAUUUACUGCUGGUCUUUUGGCCUCAAAACAGCGAGACAGGUCCAGACCCUCCGUUUGAAUUCCUGUAAAUCUGAGGGCCGUGGCAGAACGCUCCACCUGAAGCAAUGGGCCCUUCCCGCUGCGAUUUGCUGCUAUGAAUUGCUUUCCUCAGUGCCUGUGACAAAUUUUUAUUGAUGUCAAUGCGAGCCAAGGACCUGAAGCAAGAUCUGCUUCUGCUACUGAUUAAAAGAAAAAGAAUGAGGGGAGGAAGGAGAGAGAAAACCGAAGCGUUCCGUAACAUAUUUAAGUAUUAACGUUGCCACAGUUUUAUUAUCUGUAUAGUGAAAGUAAACACAAAACGAUUGAAAUACAUCUCAGUGGCAUCUACGUCCAAUUUCUCUCUGCUUGUUGCAUUUUCUUGGAAUUACUCAUUUAUUUUGAUCACAAAAACAUUUAAAGUAAUUUGUCGAGAGUU
ensembl:lncRNA